CGGGGAAAAAUGUUUCGCGAUAAUUUUUGGAAAUCGUUUAAGGCGAACGUUUAGUUUCUAAAUUUUCUAGUUUCGCGAGUUUGGUCCGUAAGCGUAAUGCGACUCGUCUGUGAGGCGUGAGUUCUCAUGAGAGAAAGAAAAUAUCUUAAGAGGAUAGACUUGGAUCGAUCCAAUGGUUAGGGUUUAAUCUUGCUUUAGUGGCACUAUUUGAUCCUAUGGCUAGGAAUGAUCAUGAUGCCUUUACAUAGGAUGACUUUGGUCAUUGUUUUGUACUUAGAAAAUAUCACAAAAGCUCUCUUCUCUUCCUCUCAUAAACCGCCUCUCCUCUCUCAACUCACCCUCACCAUUGAAAUUUUCAUUUCUCAUCCAUUCAAGCUAGGAUUUGUCUCUUUGGAACUAGGAACUUGCAAGGAAAUCACUCCUCUUAAGGAAACGCGAAACGGUAGAUAGUGUGAAACGUUGUAGUUUUUGGUUGGAAGCAUUGCCGAGACGAUGGAGCGCCAUCUGAGACCGUAGGCCGUGUGGACGGCGAGGACUUCGUAGAUUAUGCCGGAGAGUAGAUGUUAGCACUUGUUAGGCUACAUUUUUGGUAGGCUUAGGGCCUAGGUUAUAUUUUGGGAUGACUGUAUGUCUUAUACAUUU